rnacentral:tRNA from 1 species
GCGUGGAUGGUGUAGCGGUAACAUUGGGUCUUCCCACUUUGUAGUGUUUGGCCUAGCUCCGGGUUCGACUCCCGGUUCACGCA